GAGGAGUUUGGGCAGGUCUCUCCAGCAAGCAUGAAAUGAGCUGAAGGAGCAGCAGGAGCAGCAUGGCCACUCCCCAGGCAGCAGGAGGUUUCAGCCCAGCACCAGCUCAUGCGGGAGGAGCAGAUGCUGAGGAACAUCCCCCACGAGACGCAGGUGGCCAAAGAGGCUGGGUCAGGAGAGUCCCAUUUCAUUCUUGAUGCUUUCUUUAAGAGAGGCAUACAACUGAGCUCCCUCAGAGAAGCAGCAUGAAGUGCAUGAAGGAUGCUGGCUGCACUCAGUACAGACAAGGCACAUUGGAGUGCCAAAAAGGAGACCUUCUUCACCUGCUUCUCCUGUGCAAGCUCUUCUGUCUGUCUGCUGAGAUGUUUCUGCCUGUUUCUCUGGCAGAGAAGUGUUUGCUUUUUGGGCUGGCGAGCUGACCAUCCGUACUACCGUCGCCUUGAAUGCCUCCAACCAGCAGUGUUUGCUGCCAGACAGACACCUGGAGAAGACAGAGGACAUGGUUAAGUUCAUGAAGGAUAUCUUGGAUGGUGCUGCUGAAGCACAGGCUGGUGAUGGACUUCUGCAACGAAGCAAGAGAGUCAUCUAUGAGGCCAAGGCUGCUGUAAUGGUAGAGUUCAUUGCUUAUUCAGUGAGGUGAUGCUCUUGUCAGUCAAGAAGGACUUAGUUGCAGAGGCUUUGGAAAUGCUUUGAUGUAAGCUUGUUGCUAUGCUGUGCCUAGUGUAUCUAUUGUCACUAUUUAGAACUAGGCUUAAACCAAAUGAACUUCUUGAUUAAAACAGCCAAUCAUGUCUGCCACAGUUCUAACUGUUCCACCUGCAUGAAUUUCACAUUUUUCACUCUGCUGUUAGUCUGACAUAUUUUAAGGGACAGAAUCAUGAAAAUCCAACCUCUUUUCCUUGA